rnacentral:rRNA from 1 species
GUCCACGCCGUAAACGAUGAUUGCUAGGUGUAGGUGGGUAUGGACCCAUCGGUGCCGCAGCUAACGCAAUAAGCAAUCCACCUGGGGAGUACGUUCGCAAGAAUGAAACUCAAAGGAAUUGACGGGGGACCCGCACAAGCGGUGGAGCAUGUGGUUUAAUUCGAAGCAACGCGAAGAACCUUACCAGGUCUUGACAUCCCGAUGAAAAACCCGUAACGGGGUUCCCUCUUCGGAGCAUCGGAGACAGGUGGUGCAUGGUUGUCGU